GCCUGGCUGGCUCAGUCGUAGAGCAUGCAACUCUUAAUUUCAGGGUUGUGAGUUCAAACCCAAUGUUGGGCA
rnacentral:tRNA from 1 species